AGUGAACGCUGGCGGCGUGCUUAACACAUGCAAGUCGAACGGUAACAGGAACUAGCUUGCUAGUUUGCUGACGAGUGGCGCACGGGUGAGUAAUAUAUAGUUAAUGUACCCCAAAGACUGGGAUAGCCACUGGAAACGGUGAUUAAUACUAGAUACACCUCUUCAACAUAAGUUAGAGAGGGAAAUGUCUUUUCGCUUUGGGAUCAGACUAUAUCCUAUCAGUUAGUUGGUGAGGUAAUGGCUCACCAAGGCAAUGACGGGUAGCGGGUUUGAGAGGAUGAUCCGCCACACUGGUACUGAGACACGGACCAGACUCCUACGGGAGGCAGCAGUGAGGAAUAUUGCACAAUGGAGGAAACUACUGAUGCAGCAACGCCGCGUGGAGGAUGACGCAUUUCGGUGUGUAAACUCCUUUUAUAUGUCAAGAAAAUGACGGUAGCAUAUGAAUAAGCACCGGCUAACUCCGUGCCAGCAGCCG
rnacentral:rRNA from 1 species